rnacentral:misc_RNA from 1 species
GGUGGAGGAAUACGACUUCAGUGAUGGAAAGUCCAACGGACCCGAGGAACCAAAAUGGCGAUAAAAAGAAUAUAAAUUGAAAUUGAAAUUAAAUCCCAAUUAAUCAUAUAGUAUCAAGUCCAGUGAUAUAACAACAUAUUUUUGUUGAUUAUUUCAAUUGACUGAAUGAUACCUCCCCGAAUAGUACUCUUAUUUUACUUCACUAUUACUUGUAUUAAAAUGUGUUAUUUCAUAUUUACGUCUAAUUACGCUUAAAAAAAUACAAUUAUAAAUACUGAAGAAAACAGAUAAUUUGUACGUUAUAUAUAGAUGUAUGAUUCAUUUAUACCGCUGAAUAGCAUUACUGAUCCAGGGGGCCCCUUGCACCCCAGGUGAUGUAUAUAUAGAGAGCCUCUGCGGAGGUAUUAUCUCGCCUACAAAUGUAUUGUGUUUAAUAAAUACAUACAAAAAAAAU